rnacentral:rRNA from 2 species
CUGCGGAAGGUCAUUA